UGAUUUCCCUAGUAACGGCGAGUGAAGAGGAAAGAGCUCAAAGUUGGAAACUGUUUGGCUUAGCUAAACCGUAUUGUAAACUGUAGAAACAUUUUCCUGGCACACCAGAUUAAUAAGUCCUUUGGAACAAGGCAUCAUGGAGGGUGAGAAUCCCGUCUUUGAUCUGAGUAGUUGUCUUUUGUGAUAUGUUUUCAAAGAGUCAGGUUGUUUGGGAAUGCAGCCUAAAUUGGGUGGUAAAUCUCACCUAAAGCUAAAUAUUUGCGAGAGACCGAUAGCGAACAAGUACCGUGAGGGAAAGAUGAAAAGAACUUUGAAAAGAGAGUUAAACAGUAUGUGAAAUUGUUAAAAGGGAACCGUUUGGAGCCAGACUGGUUUGCUUGUAAUCAACCUAGAAUUCGUUUUGGGUGCACUUGCAGGCUAUACCUGCCAACAACAGUUUGAUUUGGAGGAAAAAAUUAGUAGGAAUGUAGCCUCUCGAGGUGUUAUAGCCUACUAUCAUACUCUGGAUUGGACUGAGGAACGCAGCGAAUGCCUUUAGGCAAGAUUGCUGGGUGCUUUCGCUAAUAAAUGUUAGAAUUUCUGCUUCGGGUGGUGCUAAUGUUUAAAGGAGGAACACAUCUAGUAUAUUUUUUAUUCGCUUAGGUUGUUGGCUUAAUGACUCUAAAUGACCCGUCUUGAAACACGGACCAAGGAGUCCACCAUAAGUGCAAGUAUUUGAGUGACAAACUCAUAUGCGUAAGGAAACUGAUUGAUACGAAGUCUUUUGAUGGCAGUAUCACCCGGCGUCGACGUUUUAACUGAAGUGACCGAGGUAAAGCACUUAUGAUGGGACCCGAAAGAUGGUGAACUAUGCCUGAAUAGGGUGAAGCCAGAGGAAACUCUGGUGGAGGCUCGUAGCGAUUCUGACGUGCAAAUCGAUCGUCAAAUUUGGGUAUAGGGGCGAAAGACUAAUCGAACCAUCUAGUAGCUGGUUCCUGCCGA
rnacentral:rRNA from 1 species